rnacentral:rRNA from 1 species
GGNGUGCGGGCGUUAUCGGAAUGAUUGGGCGUAAAGGGUGCGUAGGCGGUACGGUAAGUCUGUAGUAAAAGGCGGCAGCUCAACUGUCGUAGGCUAUGGAAACUGUCGAACUAGAGUGCAGAAGAGGGCGAUGGAACUCCAUGUGUAGCGGUAAAAUGCGUAGAUAUAUGGAAGAACACCAGUGGCGAAGGCGGUCGCCUGGUCUGUAACUGACGCUGAAGCACGAAAGCGUGGGGAGCAAAUAGGAUUAGAUACCCUAGUAGUCCACGCCGUAAACGAUGAGAACUAAGUGUUGGGGGAAUAACUCAGUGCUGCAGUUAACGCAAUAAGUUCUCCGCCUGGGGAGUAUGCACGCAAGUGUGAAACUCAAAGGAAUUGACGGGGGCCCGCACAAGCGGUGGAGUAUGUGGUUUAAUUCGAAGCAACGCGAAGAACCUUACCAGGCCUUGACAUCCCCGGCGAAGACAUGGAGACAUGUCGGAGGUUAACCGGGAGACAGGUGGUGCAUGGUUGUCGUCAGCUCGUGUCGUGAGAUGUUGGGUUAAGUCCCGCAACGAGCGCAACCCUUGUGAUAUGUUACUAACAGUAAGAUGAGGACUCAUAUCAGACUGCCGGUGACAAACCGGAGGAAGGUGGGGAUGACGUCAAAUCAUCAUGCCCCUUAUGGCCUGGGCUACACACGUACUACAAUGGCGGCUACAAAGAGCGGCGAACCCGCGAGGGGGAGCGAAUCUCAUAAAGGUCGUCUCAGUUCGGAUUGAAGUCUGCAACCCGACUUCAUGAAGUUGGAAUCGCUAGUAAUCGCGAAUCAGCAUGUCGCGGUGAAUACGUUCUCGGGCCUUGUACACACCGCCCGUCAAACCAUGGGAGUUGGUAAUACCCGAAGCCGGUGGCAUAACCGCAAGGAGUGAACCGUCGAAGGAGGAUC